ensembl:lncRNA novel transcript
AACUGCUUCUAGCUGAAGAGGGGCGGCGUGCAAGGGGAAAGGCUAGGGAGGUUGGGGGAUGGUUGUUCUUGAAGCUGCCGGUAUUCCUGAAGAAACAGCAUAUCUCAUACUGUCCCAUGGGUGAAGGCUUUAAUGAGGUUCUGUAAAACCUGGGGAAAAAGACAGGGGUCCAGUGGCACACGGAUUGGAGACAAGUCCAUCAGCUCCCACAACUGAGACCUGAGAGGGAUGAGUUGGUCCUGCAAAUUCAGAGAAUUGUGCCAUUGCCUGUCAUUGGAUUUGAGGAGGUCAUCCAAUCACAAUGAAGUUCAAUGAAAUCUGAAGACUGGUUAGCAAAGUCUUAACCAUAACCACUUGCUAUCUAUUGAAAUAUAUUGGGAAGCACAGAUUGUAUCAUCAUGAAAUUUUCACACAUGGUGGAACUCCAUUUGUUAACAGUCACAGAGGGUGAUGCUUGGCAUUUUAAACUGCACCACAGUCUUAAAUUCAUUAUCAUGUGAACUGAUAAGAUCUAGUACAGAAUUUAAAAAUGG